rnacentral:snoRNA from 1 species
GUGAGGACGACCCCGAUCGCUGACUCGUGAAGACUGGUAUUACGACUGA